UGUAAACUUUACAGAUGUUACUGUAAACUUUGCAGAGGUUACUCUCCUCUUUGUAGAGGUUUAUGUCAUAUUUACAGAGGUUACUGUCCUCUUUGCAGAGGUUACUGUCAACUUUACAUAGGUUACUGUCAACUUUACAGAGGUUAAUGUCAACUUUACAGAUGUUACUGUCCUCUUUGUAGAGGUUACUGUCAUCUUUACAGAGGUUACUGUCCUCUUUACAGGGGUUACUGUCCUCUUUACAGAGGUUACUGUCAUCUUUACAGAGGUUACUGUCAUCUUUACAGAGGUUACUGUCCUCUUUACAGAUGUUACUGUAAACUUUGCAGAGGUUACUCUCCUCUUUGUAGAGGUUUCUGUCAUCUUUACAGAGGUUACUGUCCUCUUUACAGAGGUUAUUGUCCUCUUUACAGUGGUUACUGUCAUCUUUACAGAGGUUACUGUCCUCUUUACAGAGGUUACUGUCAACUUUACAGAGGUUAAUGUCAACUGUACAGAGGUUAAUGUCAACUGUACAGAGGUUACUGUCAACUGUACAGAGGUUACUGUCAACUGUACAGAGGUUACUGUAAUCUGUACAGAGGUUACUGUCAACUGUACAGAGGUUACUGUAAACUUAGCAGAUGUUACUGUAAACUUUGCAGAGGUUACUCUCCUCUUUGUAGAGGUUUCUGUCAUCUUUACAUAGGUUACUGUCCUCUUUGCAGAGGUUACUGUCAUCUUUACAGAUGUUACUGUCAUCUUUACAGAUGUUAAAUGAACUCUCCUUCCCUUCAUGUCUAGGCAGAUCUGUAUGAUUGUUUUCUCUACGAUUAUUCAGUUGUAUUUCUGAUUUGAAGAUGUUCACUACAUGACCAGAAGGAUAUAUAGUGUGUGCUGCACAUGAUGUACUGCUGUACAUAUCAAGACCUGCUGCACAUGAUGUAUUGCUGUUUCCUGAAGUUUAUGUCCAUACAAUGAACACUAUUUACUUUGUAUUAUGUUGUUCAUUUGCUUUAUGCAGUAAUUUAUCAAAUGAGAAAUAAACUACAUUAUAAACA